rnacentral:rRNA from 1 species
GACGAACGCUGGCGGCGUGCCUAAUACAUGCAAGUCGAACGCAGUGGGGACGGGUGCGUAACACGUGGGUAACCUCCCAUCAGAGGGGAUACCACUUGGAAACAGGUGCUAAACCUAUACUGAUGGAUGGACCCGCGGUGCAUUAGCUAGUUGGUGAGGUAACGGCUCACCAAGGCAACGAUGCAUAGCAGACCGGAGAGGGUGAGCGGAACCACUGGGACGUAGACACGGCCAAGACUCCUACGGGAGGAAGCAGUAGGGAAUCUUCGGCAAUGGACGAAAGUCUGACCGAGAAACGCCGCGUGAGUGAAGAAGGUUUUCGGAUCGUAAAACUCUGUUGUUAGAGAAGCGGUAUCUAACCAGAAAGCCACGGCUAACUACGUGCCAGCAGCCGCGGUAAUUC